ensembl:snRNA U6 U6 spliceosomal RNA
GUGCUCACUUUUGCAGGACAUGUACUAACAGCAGAACAGGGUAGAGAUUAGCACAGCCCCUGUGCAAUGAUGACACCAAAAGUCAUGAAGCUUCUGUAUUUUUA